AUUAUUAUACUAGGCAUUGAAAACACCGGUUCUCGUCCGAUCACCGAAGUUAAGCAAUGUUGGGCCCGGUCAGUACUUGGGAGGGUGACCACCUGGGAACACCGGGUGCUGUAGUUA